rnacentral:rRNA from 1 species
UACGUAGGGUGCGAGCGUUGUCCGGAAUUAUUGGGCGUAAAGAGCUCGUAGGCGGUUUGUUACGUCGGCCGUGAAAACCUGCAGCUUAACUGUGGGCGUGCGGUCGAUACGGGCAUCACUGGAGUUCGGCAGGGGAGACUGGAAUUCCUGGUGUAGCGGUGAAAUGCGCAGAUAUCAGGAGGAACACCGGUGGCGAAGGCGGGUCUCUGGGCCGAUACUGACGCUGAGGAGCGAAAGCGUGGGGAGCAAACAGG